GCCUAGCUGAUCCUUGGUGUCCAAGGUACGGGCUUCAAACCCGUGGCCGGUUGACACCGGAGUGGUUCGAUUCCAGUUAAUGGGCG
rnacentral:tRNA from 1 species